AUUGAACGCUGGCGGCAGGCCUAACACAUGCAAGUCGAGCGAGCGGCGGACGGGUGAGUAAUGUCUGGGGAACUGCCUGAUGGAGGGGGAUAACUACUGGAAACGGUAGCUAAUACCGCAUACCAUCGGAUGUACCCAGAUGGGAUUAGCUAGUAGGUGGGGUAACGGCUCACCUAGGCGACGAUCCCUGGCUGGUCUGAGAGGAUGACCAGCCACACUGGAACUGAGACACGGCCCAGACUCCUACGGGAGGCAGCAGUGGGGAAUAUUGCACAAUGGGCGCAAGCCUGAUGCAGCCAUGCCGCGUGUGUGAAGAAGGCCUUAGGGUUGUAAAGCACUUUCAGCGGGGAGGCGUUACCCGCAGAAGAAGCACCGGCUAACUCCGUGCCAGCAGCCGCGGUAAUAC
rnacentral:rRNA from 1 species